rfam:Gallus gallus isolate RJF #256 breed Red Jungle fowl, inbred line TCD001 chromosome 3, whole genome shotgun sequence.
CCAGUGGCUUCAAUAGAAGCCACACACAGUGAUAACUGUUCUUUAU